rnacentral:rRNA from 1 species
CCUACGGGAGGCAGCAGUGAGGAAUAUUGGUCAAUGGGCGCGAGCCUGAACCAGCGAAGUAGCGUGAGGGAUGACUGCCCUACGGGUUGUAAACUUCGUUUAUAAAGGAAUAAAGUGAGGCACGUAUGCCUUUUUGUAUGUACUUUAUGAGUAAAGAUCGGCUAACUCCGUGCCAGCAGCCGCGGUAAUACGGAGGAUGCGAGCGUUAUCCGGAUUUAUUGGGUUUAAAGGGAGCGUAGAUGGGUUGUUAAGUCAGGUGUGAAAGUGUGCGGCUCAACCGUAAAAUUGCAAUUGAUACUGGCAGCCUUGAGUACAGUUGAGGUAGGCGGAAUUCGUGGUGUAGCGGUGAAAUGCUUAGAUAUCACGAAGAACAUCGAUUGCGAAGGCAGCCUACUAACCUGCCACUGACAUUGAUGCGCGAAAGUGUGGGUAUCAAACAGGAUUAGAUACCCCAGUAGUC